rnacentral:rRNA from 1 species
UUGACCUCAAAUCAGGUAGGACUACCCGCUGAACUUAAGCAUAUCAAUAAGCGGAGGAAAGAAACUAACAAGGAUUCCCCUA